rnacentral:lncRNA from 1 species
ACUCAUCCUCCGCUGCAGGUCGAACUGUAGACACAGAGAGCAACAGACAAAUCCCAGGCCCUCGUCGGGGAAGAAAGGGAUCAUGAAAUAAACAGAAAAAUAAAUGCGAAAUGCGGCCAGCGAUGAAAGCUCAGAAGGCGAGCUUACCCCGGACCCAAACGCGCAAUACUAACCGGGAGUGUAAGGAGGCCACGCCCUCCUCGCGUAUUUGUGCCCAAAUGAGCUGCCUCCCCAGCGUGCACCAAAUUCCUGAGCCACCUGCUCCGAGCUCGAUUUCCCUUUCAAGCUGUGUGUUCUGCGGGGGCAGGGAGAGCUGCAAGGGCUCAUCUUUCAGGACGUGCUGCAAAGGCCCUUUGAAGUCAUCCGCCCUGCUCUUGGCACCUUGCGCCUGGAGCUGAGCUCUUCCAAAAAUGACCCCUGCGCAUUCCGUGGUGCGGCCGCCCAGCCCAGGCAGUCGCGGUCCAGAGCAGGGGAAGCUGCAGCGCGGCCGACAGCUGGGAGAGCCGAGGCCCUGAGGGAGGACCCUGCCUCAAGCCAAGCAACCAGGCCCUGCGGCCCUCUCCCCACCCCUGUGCGGCCCUGGCGCAGGGAACCGGGACGGGGCUUUCAGGCCUUGAAGGGCAGACUUACUCCACCAAACAUUCCCAUCGUCGGCUGAUGGAGGGCCUCGAGCUGGGCGCUGUGGGUACGUUAUCCUAUUUACUUCUCUCGGUAGCCCUGCACCAUCGCCUCUGGUUCCCAGAUGCCCUUCUAGAGAGACCUGCCAGACUGAGCCGCUUCCGUCAGCCAGACAUGAGGAUAAGAGCGUUUAGUGAGGAAAUUGCCUAAUCAUUUGCAGGCUAAGAGGAAAGACCGCACUGCAGAACAACUUAUUUUAAUAGGAAGCACCAAGACUUCUUAUCUUAAUGCUGACGACCGCCCGUUUAUAUUAGAUGAUCCCCUGAGCGUCUCUCCUUUUGUCUCCUUGAGUUUGAACCCUUAAGACCACGUGGACGGUGGGGAAAUCCUCCCUCAACGUGCAUGGCUCAUCUCGCCACGAGGGGGCGCUCCCAGAUCAGAGACACGCGGCUGCCGCCCACCCACCUCGCGGCCGCCACCUCCUGUGCGUGCAUCAUCUUCGCGCACCUGCCCAGAGGGCGGGGCCGGGGGGUCUCCUGCCCCAUUAAGACUCCCUGAAGUCCAGGUGCAGCCCUGAAGGCUAGAGCAAGGUCACUACCGAGGAACAAGAUGUCCUGUGAGACGUCCCGGGAUCUCUGUGAAAACUCUGGACCUCUGGGAAGUCAAUGGGGACUGCACUGAGGGCCUACUGUGUGCCAGGGCUUUAUGUAACCCAAGUUAUUCACUCCACAAACACUGAGGGCCUGCAGAGGUGGCUGUCCAAGAAGGGAAGGAAGCUGAGGGUGAAGGAGGGAGCCUGACCCUCAGACCAGUUUCCCUGGCAGCCAGCAGAGCAUUCUGCAGCAUGCUGCCAAGCAAGAAAGUGGUCUCAGCUGUGCACUAGCUUCAGCCUGCUCCUAGGGGAGCUCUGGAGUGGGAGCUGCACUACCACGAGGAUUGUAAGCUUCCUGAGGCCUCCCUAGAAGCCGAGCUGAUGCCAGCACUAUGCUUCCUGUACGGCCCGCAGAACCAUAAGCCAAUUAAACUGCUUUCUUUAUAAAUUACCCAGUAUCAGGUAUUCUUUGUAGCAAUGCAAGAACAGCCUAACACAGGUGGAGUGGUCAGAUUCCAGUCACUGUCUUGGACCUGGAGGUCCAGGGUCCCCCUUUAGGGCUGGUGGUGUGAUGUGCUAUAGAAGAAUCUUGGGAUUCUGACAACUUCAUGAACAGCAUGUCCACUUCAACCUGUGAGAGAUUGUUUGGGAAGAUCCCUCCCAUCCCAGUGCUUCUUGGCAAUGUGACUUUGCCCUCUUCCCAUCAAGAGAUAAAGUCUGUUUCCCUCCCUUGAAUUGGAUGUGUCCCUGAAUCAACCCAGCACUGUGCUCCCACCUCCGUGUGGCAAAAUUGGCAUUGGGUGACUUUUGGGGCCUGACACUCCCAUGUGAGAAAGACAGCCUAGCCUCCCAGAAGAUGAGGGUCUCCAGCCAGGAGCACCAGCUGCUGGCACUGGAGUGAGCCCAUGUAGGACCCUUCUGCCCAGGCCACCUUCCAGUUGCCUGCAGUUUCAGAAGGGAGCCCAGGAGAAACCCACAGGGGAAGUUCACCAAUGUGCAAAACAUGAAGUGUAAAUUGUUGUUUUCAGCCACCAAGUUUUAGGGUGGUUUGUUGAUGCAGUGAAAGCUAAAUAAAAUCCAGCCCUGGGCUGCCCACCUCUGACUUUUUCAUGAGAAAGAAACUUUGAUCUUGUUUAAGGCAUGAUGGUUUUUGGUCUUGGGUGAACGGAAUCCUGAUGCACACAUGCACCUCUGGACCAGAGAUUUUUGCUUUGAUGUGAUACCUCAGUGGCCAGGGUGAUUCUCUCUUGCUGCUGAUGGAUGUGCUGAGCCCUUUUUUUUUUCCAAUCGGUUGCUAUGACAACAAGGGACUCCAUAUCCUCUAAAGAGGUUGGUAUCUUGUGGGCAAUUAGAUUCUGGCCAUACCAUUACCUAAUUCUUCUGUCUGAUCUGAGACCAGAGUUCCCUCCACCUCCCCCCAGCACCCCCGGCACUCCCCGCCUUGCCCUCCUCCUGCCCAGGAGGUUAAAGCUGGCUUCCUUUGCUAAUCUCCUUAUUGCUGAAUUGAAUUCUGAAGCUGUUUCUUGCCCUUGCUGUCUGCUCAGGCUGCAAUUCAGAUAGAUACUUAGAGGCUUCCUUUUGGAUUCUGCAUCUCUCCCUUUCUGGGCUCUGAGCUGUAACAUCCCUUAAGUCAAGUUAGAUACAGAAUGAGAGGCUUCUUCUUCUCCAAGCCUCUGUUUUCUUAUCUGCAAGACGGAGAGAGCUUACCAACCUAACAGGGUUGUUGG